AACGAACGCUGGCGGCGCGCCUAAUACAUGCAAGUCGAGCGAGAAGACGUAGCAAUACGUUUGUAAAGCGGCGAACGGGUGAGGAAUACAUGGGUAACCUACCCUCGAGUGGGGAAUAACUAGCCGAAAGGUUAGCUAAUACCGCGUACGCUCCUUGGACUUCGGUUCAGGGAGGAAAGCGAUACCGUGGGUAUCGCGCUCUUGGAUGGGCUCAUGUCCUAUCAGCUUGUUGGUGAGGUAACGGCUCACCAAGGCUUCGACGGGUAGCUGGUCUGAGAGGACGAUCAGCCACACUGGCACUGCGACACGGGCCAGACUCCUACGGGAGGCAGCAGUAAGGAAUAUUGCGCAAUGGGCGAAAGCCUGACGCAGCGACGCCGCGUGGGGGAUGAAGGUCUUCGGAUUGUAAACCCCUUUCGGGAGGGAAGAUGGAACGAGCAAUCGUUCGGACGGUACCUCCAGAAGCAGCCACGGCUAACUUCGUGCCAGCCGCCG
rnacentral:rRNA from 1 species